rnacentral:rRNA from 1 species
UACGUAGGGACCAAGCGUUGUCCGGAAUCAUUGGGCGUAAAGCGCGCGUAGGUGGCUUCGUAAGUCCGUUGUGAAAGUCAAAGGCUCAACCUUUGAAAGCCGAUGGAUACUGCGGAGCUAGAGUACGGAAGAGGCGAGUGGAAUUCCUGGUGUAGCGGUGGAAUGCGCAGAUAUCAGGAGGAACACCAAUAGCGAAGGCAGCUCGCUGGGACGUUACUGACGCUGAGACGCGAAAGCGUGGGGAGCAAACAGG